ensembl:lncRNA
CCGGAGGCCCGAACUGCUGAGUUCCCACCCAACCGAACGGACACAGAAAGAAUCUGCCCGGCCCGGCCCCGCCCCCGGCCCCUGGAUUCCUCUGGGGGCUGGGCGGGAGGCUGCGGCCGAAAGGCGAAAGAGAGGCUCUUGGCCGCCUCUCCCCUCCUCGCCGUGCUCAGCCAGGUUGUAGAGUACUUGUGGAUUGUGGGACGUCCAGGCUGGUCCGGGUUAAGGCCGUAAGGGGUGCCCCCAGCCAGGGACUUUUAACCCUGUCUUCGUCCCUCUUAAGUCCUCCAAGUGAGACGGUCCUCGGGGCUCUGCUGAUUGCUGAGGUUCCGAGAUGCAGGGGUUUGGUUGGGCCUGGCAGAUAGCAGCUCCUGUUGCAAGAGCUCCUCGCACCCCUUUCCUGUAUCUGUCAGCUAACGGGGUUAGCCAGUUCCUUCACUGGUGAACGUCAGCGCCUGCUUACCCAGACCGCGGUGGUCAGUCGCUAAGGGUGGCCUGUUGAUGGCACUGAGAGAUGCUAUAAACACCAGAACAAAUUUAACACUGGCCAGAACAAGAGCUCUAAGAAGCUGGGAAGAUGGGCCCCAGAGUACAGGGGAGAACAAUUCUGCAGGAACUGUUUUAGUUUCUGUCUUCCUGGAUUCAGGGGGUCUUGCCCAGCAAGUCCCAGAGUGACCUGGUCACACAGGACCACUAGCCCUGCUCAGCUCCUGGCAGCCUCUCAGUCUAAACUGCACCCUCUUCAGGCCACACAUCAACUCUCCAUGUGUAUCUACCCAGCUGUGGUGCUGAUUUUAAUCCUGAAAGAUAUGUUCCAAAUACCAUAAUCCUGACACUGGAAAUCCUGAAAGAUCAAAAUCCCUAAACCUUAAAAUCCAGGAAAAAUCACAAUCUCAAAAUACUAAAAAUCCCAGAUGUUGAAGUCGUGAAAGCCAGAAUCCUGAAAACUGCAAUUCUAACUGAAAAACAAGGAAGGCUACAUAAGAGGGACAGAAAGCCAAACUCUGGGGAAAGGAUUAGUGCAUUUUGGGUUAUACACAGACUUGUUGCAUCUUAUGAGGUGGAUGAGACACCUAGAAACCUGGUCAAGCUUUUUUUGAGUGUCUGUGAGGAAGAUCCACACUCACUGUGGGCAGCACCAUCCAAUCUGCUGACCAAGCAGCACAAAUACACAGGCUAAUGGGUCUAAGAGUUGGCACAGAGCAUUCUUCAACCGCCUUGGACAUCAGAAUGCCAGGCUCACUUGCUGUUGGACUCCAGGACUUAGAUCAGCAAUCUCUAGAUCCCCAGACUUUUUUAUUCUAUUCCACUAUUCUAAAUUGUCAGCAUUAUUUUUUUUAUAUAUAAUUUGCUCUGCUAUGUAUUUCAUUGUUGCAUCAUUUCUAAUCCCGGAAGUAUAAAUUGUGUAGAGACUUUUAGUGAGCUCUAAUUCAUUUCAUGCCUUUUCUUUUUGGUAAAUUUGACUCAGUGAAAGUGCAGUUUCACAACAUUGACUUUGUGUGUAAGCAUUGUGCAUGCACGUAGAAUGUUGAAACUUAGUCGAUAAAUGAAAGGAUGUCCUUUACGUACAUCUACAUCAGAAGCUCUACCGGUGAGGACUAAGAGCUCCCCACGGCAGUGUCCACAGUCCUCCAAGCUCUGGAACCAGAGUGACGCUCUGAGUUGCCUGUGAGGUAAUGCUAAGCUGUCUCGAUGGAGCUGCUAUGACAUGCCAACUAGAAGUGAUGAUCCCGGGUCACUGAUUUUUAUCUGUAUUCUCCUUUGGGUGACACUGCAGUCUUCCAUAGUUGAAGCAAUUUACACUCCCACCAGUAUUGCCUGUGAAUUCUGCCCCACAUCCUCAACAACACAAUCUUUGUCCUUUUGGCCAUCUUGGUGGAGCUGUAAUUUGAGGUUCUAGGUUUCUUUCCUCUUUCUUUCUUCCUUUCUUCCUUUCUUUCUAUCUUUCUUUCUU